GAUAAGCAUAAGAAAAGCAAAUCGAAGAGAAGAGAAACAACGCAACAAUUGGAAAAAAAAAUGGCGUCUAAGGCUAUCUUCUCCACAAUCCGCCGAUCUCUAACGAAACCACGCGGCGGCGCAGUUUCCCGAGGCCACCACUUGUCCACCUCCGCCGCGACGGCGUCCGAAUCCUACGCAGGCGACGAACACGCGAUCGUGAUGAAAGGAGUUCGAAUCUCAGGCAGGCCUCUCUACCUCGAUAUGCAGUCGACGACCCCGCUCGACCCCAGAGUCUUCGACGCGAUGAACGCCUCUUCCAUCUACGACUACGGGAACCCGCACUCGCGCACGCAUCUCUACGGCUGGGAAGCGGAGAACGCCGUCGAGGUGGCUCGAAUCCAGGUCGCGAAGCUCAUCGGCGCCUCGCCGAAGGAGAUCGUGUUCUUGUCCGGCGCCACGGAGGCGAACAACACGGUGGUGAAGGGCGUGAUGCACUUCUACAAGGACAAGAAGAGGCACGUGAUCACCACGCAGACUGAGCACAAGUGCGUUCUCGACUCGUGCAGGCAUUUGCAGCAGGAAGGCUUCGAGGUAACGUACUUGCCGGUUAAAACCGACGGUUUAGUUGAUUUAGAGAUGCUGAGAGAUUCUAUUAGACCGGAUACCGGUUUAGUUUCGGUUAUGGCUGUGAACAAUGAGAUUGGCGUGGUGCAACCUAUGGAGGAGAUUGGUAGGAUUUGCAAGGAGCAUAAGAUCCCGUUUCAUACCGAUGCUGCUCAAGCUAUAGGGAAGAUACCUGUUGAUGUUGAGAAGUGGAACGUUAGUUUCAUGUCGAUGAGUGGGCACAAGAUCUACGGACCGAAAGGUGUUGGUGCUAUGUACGUUAGAAGGAGGCCGAGGGUGAGGCUCGAGCCGUUGAUGAACGGUCCGGUGAGUUGCCGCCGUAUCUAUGCUAUGGGAAGAAACUUGAAAAGCUAAUUAGUUUCAGUAAUCAGUUAAGCGGCGAGAUCCCGGAAACUUACGGUGAGUGCGACUCGCUUAAUUAUAUUAGAAUGGCGGAUAACAAACUCUCCGGCGAAGUUCCGGUUAGGUUUUCGGAGCUUCCUCUUACUCGUCUCGAGCUAUCCAACAACCGAUUACAAGGUUCGAUUCCUCCGUCGAUAUCCAAAGCUCGUCAGCUCUCUCAGCUCGAAAUCUCCGGAAACAAGUUCUCCGGUGCGAUUCCGGUGAGAAUCUGUGAUCUCGGAGGACUCAGGGUCGUCGAUCUCAGCCGUAACCGUUUCUCAGGAUCUAUCCCGUCUUGCAUUAACAGAUUGAAGAAUCUGGAGAGAUUGGAGAUGCAGGAGAACAUGCUCGACGGCGAGAUCCCGAGUUCGGUGAGUUCAUGCGCCAAGUUAACCGAGUUGAAUCUCUCCGAUAACCGCCUCCGCGGCGGAAUCCCACCGGAGCUCGGGGAAUUACCGGUUUUGAACUAUCUGGAUCUCUCCAACAACCAACUCACCGGCGAGGUUCCGGCGGAGUUGUUGAAGCUGAAGCUUAAUCAGUUCAACGUCUCCGAUAACAAACUCUCCGGCAAGAUCCCUUCUGGUUUUCAACAAGAUAUUUUUCUACCGAGUUUUUUGGGUAACCCGGAUCUCUGCGCCCCGGAUAUGGAUCCGAUUCGACCUUGCCGAUCCAAACCCGAGCCCCGGUUUAUCCUUUUUAUCUCCGUCGUCUGCAUCGUUGCACUAAUCGGAGCUUUGGUUUGGCUUUUUAUCAAAACCAAACCGUUAUUCCAGAGAAAACCGAACCGGACCGAUAAAGUAACCAUUUUCCAGCGGAUCGGGUUCACAGAGGAAGACAUAUACCCGCAAUUAACAGAAGAUAACAUAAUCGGGUCGGGCGGGUCGGGUUUGGUUUACAGAGUGACACUCAAAUCAGGCCAAACGCUCGCGGUGAAGAAACUUUGGGGUGGACCGGGUCAUAAACCCGAAUCCGAAUCCGUUUUCAGAUCCGAGGUAGAGAUUCUGGGUCGGGUCAGACAUGGUAACAUAGUGAAGCUUCUCAUGUGCUGCAGCGGCGAAGAGUUUCGGUUUCUAGUGUACGAGCAUAUGGAAAACGGCAGCUUGGGCGACGUUUUGCAUUCAGAGAAAGAACAUCGCGCCGUUUCUCCGCUGGAUUGGACGACAAGGUUUUCGAUCGCGCUUGGUGCAGCUCAAGGACUUGCUUAUCUACAUCAUGACUCUGUUCCGGCGAUUGUUCACCGUGACGUCAAAAGCAAUAAUAUAUUGUUGGACCAUGAGAUGAAGCCACGUGUUGCUGAUUUCGGUUUGGCUAAACCGUUGAAAAGAGAAGACAAUAAUGGUGUCUUUGAUGUUUCUCCUAUGUCUUGUGUUGCUGGAUCCUACGGCUACAUUGCUCCAGGUUCGAAUUCUAAAUGCUAAACCGAAAUAACAAAUAUUUUUUACUGUUAUUUUUUAUUCUGUUGUUGUGAUUGCACAUGCAGAAUAUGGUUAUACGUCGAGAGUGAAUGAGAAGAGCGAUGUGUAUAGUUUCGGUGUCGUGUUACUCGAAUUGAUUACGGGUAAAAGGCCAAAUGAUUCUUCGUUUGGGGAGAAUAAAGACAUUGUUAAGUUUGCAAUGGAGUCAGCUUUGUCUUACUCUUCUCCAUCACCUGAAGACAAAGCUAUGAAUCAAGAUUCACUUGGAAAUUUUCGAGAUCUUCGCAAGGUUGUGGAUCCAAAGAUGGAACUUUCUACGAGGGAAUAUGAAGAGGUAGAGAGAGUUCUCGAGAUUGCAUUACUUUGCACGUCUUCGUUUCCUAUUAGUAGGCCGACCAUGAGGAAAGUAGUAGAGCUGCUCAAAGAGAAGAAGCCACUUGAGUGAGACGGUGCUCGUUUCUUCAUCUGGUUUUAAUACUAAGAUUGUUACUUAAUCAUAGGUGGGCUACUGGAAAACUAAUUUUAAAAACUUAAAUAGCUAGUUAUCUUUUUUUUUGUUAAUUUAAAGAUUAAGAAGCAUGGACUAAGCUAUAAGAUUUUGCAAACUUUAAAUUUAAUAGUCUAAAAGACAAUUAUUGUUGAUGUUCUCGAUAAACCAAUAUACGAGGCAGAUAUAUGUACCAAUCCUCUUCGAAUAAACAGCGUUGGUGUAACUCAUGCUCCAAAAGCAUUUUGCAUCACCAUCAAGAGUGUUUUUGCUUCAAGAGGGAUCUAUGUUCAAGUUUAUUCCAAGACUUACAUUGAAGACAAAUGCCGAUGUUUGAAUUGUUAGUACCUUCUACUCUUGCUCGUUUUAUCUUAAAUUAAUCAAGAGUUUUAUUGACGUUAAUCUAAAGAUAUGAUAGCUUUUGUAGUCCAAUUAAUAAUCUCAUUAAAGAUUCAUGUUAAAAUUGAGUUCAAAUUUCAGAAAGACGAUUCAUUUACCCAUUAUACCACCAGUUAAAUAAGAACUUAACAUUUUUUUGGUUAUAGUAAAAAUAUAAUUUUAGACAAUUGAUCUUCAUAAAUCAGUUAAUAGAUAUACAUAUACAAUUGUAAUAUGUAAAUUUUCAUAAGACAUAUGUCAGUUGUAGAGUUCAUGAUAGCAUAAAUAAAAAUGCUAAACAUGAAUUUUUACAGUUGUCCAGUUUAGAAUGUAAUAAUAAUAAAUAUAAAUUAAUGUUGGAAACACAAAUGUUUUUCUUUUACAAACUAAAAAAACUCUUGGGCCAAAGAAUAUGGUAUUGGGCAGUAACAUCUGGCCCAUUAGAUAUCCACAAGCCUUCUUCUUUCAAUUUAGGGCUCCAGAGACGACCACGUCGCCUCUGUCACGAAACCGCCAGUGACGCUAUCGUCUUUCACAUCCGAUAAGCAUAAGAAAAGCAAAUCGAAGAGAAGAGAAACAACGCAACAAUUGGAAAAAAAAAUGGCGUCUAAGGCUAUCUUCUCCACAAUCCGCCGAUCUCUAACGAAACCACGCGGCGGCGCAGUUUCCCGAGGCCACCACUUGUCCACCUCCGCCGCGACGGCGUCCGAAUCCUACGCAGGCGACGAACACGCGAUCGUGAUGAAAGGAGUUCGAAUCUCAGGCAGGCCUCUCUACCUCGAUAUGCAGUCGACGACCCCGCUCGACCCCAGAGUCUUCGACGCGAUGAACGCCUCUUCCAUCUACGACUACGGGAACCCGCACUCGCGCACGCAUCUCUACGGCUGGGAAGCGGAGAACGCCGUCGAGGUGGCUCGAAUCCAGGUCGCGAAGCUCAUCGGCGCCUCG
rnacentral:lncRNA from 1 species